CCUACGGGAGGCAGCAGUGGGGAAUCUUGCGCAAUGGGCGAAAGCCUGGCGCAGCAACGCCGCGUGCGGGAAGAAGGCUUUCGGGCUGUAAACCGCUUUCAGCAGGAACGAAAAUGACGGUACCUGCAGAAGAAGGAGCGGCCAACUAUGUGCCAGCAGCCGCGGUGAUACAUAGGCUUCAAGCGUUGUCCGGAUUUAUUGGGCGUAAAGAGUUCGUAGGCGGUCAAGUAAGUCGGGUGUGAAAAUUCUGGGCUCAACCCAGAGACGCCACCCGAUACUGCUUAACUUGAGUUCGAUAGGGGAGUGGGGAAUUCCUAGUGUAGCGGUGAAAUGCGCAGAUAUUAGGAGGAACACCGGUGGCGAAGGCGCCACUCUGGAUCGAUACUGACGCUGAGGAACGAAAGCAUGGGUAGCAAACAGGAUUAGAUACCCUGGUAGUCCAUGCCGUAAACGGUGGGCACUAGGUGUGGGUUUCUAUUAACGAAAUCCGCGCCGUCGCUAACGCAUUAAGUGCCCCGCCUGGGGAGUACGGUCGCAAGACUAAAACUCAAAUGAAUUGACGG
rnacentral:rRNA from 1 species